rnacentral:misc_RNA from 1 species
GAAAUGCGAUAAGUAAUGUGAAUUGCAGAAUUCAGUGAAUCAUCGAAUCUUUGAACGCACCUUGCGCUCCUUGGUAUUCCUUGGAGCAUGCCUGUUUGAGUAUCAUGAAAUCUUCAAAGUAAAUCUUUUGUUAACUCAAUUGGUUUCUACUUUGGUAUUGGAGGUCUUUGCAGCUUCACACCUGCUCCUCUUUGUUCAUUAGCUGGAUCUCAGUGUUAUGCUUGGUUCCACUCGGCGUGAUAAGUUGUCUAUCGCUGAGGACACUGUAAAAGGUGGCCAAGGUAAAUGCAGAUGAACCGCUUCUAAUAGUCCAUUGACUUGGACAAUACUUUUAUGAUCUGAUCUCAAAUCAGGUAGGACUACCCGCUGAACUUAAGC